AUGUCAGCGGUUCGAGUCCGCUUAUCUCCAGCCCGUGAACUUAGCGGAUACUAUGAUAGCGAUAGCACCGAUUGCCAAUUCGGUAGUUCGAUCUAUGAUUUCACAUUCAUGGACGUUGAUAAGAUCCUUCCAUUUAGUAGCACCUUAGGAUGGCAUAGCCUUAACGUUAAUGGCAAGCUUCAAAAGAGGAAAGGCUUGCGAUGGAUACCUAGGCACCCAGAGACGAGGAAGGGCGUAGCAAGCGACGAAAUGCUUCGGGGAGUUGAAAAUAAGCAUAGAUCCGGAGAUUCCCAAAUAGGUCAACCUUUUAAACUGCCUGCUGAAUCCAUGAGCAGGCAAGAGACAACCUGGCGAACUGAAACAUCUUAG
rnacentral:rRNA from 1 species